GAUGAACGCUGGCGGCGUGCCUAAUACAUGCAAGUCGAGCGAAUGGAUUAAGAGCUUGCUCUUAUGAAGUUAGCGGCGGACGGGUGAGUAACACGUGGGUAACCUGCCCAUAAGACUGGGAUAACUCCGGGAAACCGGGGCUAAUACCGGAUAACAUUUUGAACCGCAUGGUUCGAAAUUGAAAGGCGGCUUCGGCUGUCACUUAUGGAUGGACCCGCGUCGCAUUAGCUAGUUGGUGAGGUAACGGCUCACCAAGGCAACGAUGCGUAGCCGCCCUGAGAGGGCGAUGUGCCACACUGGGGGUGAGACACGGCCCAGACUCCUACGGGAGGCAGCAGUAAGGAAUCUUCCGCAAUGGACGAAAGUGUGACGGAGCAACGCCGCGUGAGUGAUGAAGGCUUUCGGGUCGUAAAACUCUGUUGUUAGGGAAGAACAAGUGCUAGUUGAAUAAGCUAACACCUUGACGGUACCUAACCAGAAAGCCACGGCUAACUACGUGCCAGCCGCCGCGGUAA
rnacentral:rRNA from 1 species